rnacentral:rRNA from 1 species
UACGUAGGGGGCAAGCGUUGUCCGGAUUUAUUGGGCGUAAAGAGCGUGUAGGCGGCCUGGUAGGUCAGCUGUGAAAACUCGAGGCUCAACCUCGAGACGCCGGUUGAAACCAUCAGGCUAGAGUCCGGAAGAGGAGAGUGGAAUUCCCGGUGUAGCGGUGAAAUGCGCAGAUAUCGGGGAAGAACACCCGUGGCUAAGGCGGCUCUCUAGUACGGUACUGACGCUGAGACGGCGAAAGCGUGGGGAGCGAACAGG